CCAUUUUGUGAAAAGUGGAAAUAAAAGAAAUUCUUUUAUGAUAACAUUAAUUGAACAGGCUAAUUUGCGCAAGAGAGUACAAAUUGAGUGCGCGGUUUGGCACCUCGAUGUCGGCUUAGCUCAUCCUCAUGCGUGCAGUAAUCAUGAAGGGUUCGACUGUUCGUCGAUUAAAGAGCUACAUGAGCUGGGUUUAAUACGUCGUGAGACAGUAUGGUUUCUAUCUUCUAGAGGAAAUUAAAGUAAAAUAAAAAUAUACCCUUCGUACGAAAGGAGUUGGGUACAUUGACCUCUGGUUUACCUGUUGUUUAUGUUAGUCUUAAGACUGAUUUGCUUAUACUUAAGUAAAUAAUUCCAUAGGCAUGGCAGGAAAGCUACGUCAGUUGAGGAUAAGCGCUGAAAGCAUCUAAAUGCGAAGCUAAUUUUAGGAUACUUUUAAACGUAGAAGAACACUACGAUUAUAAUUGUUAAAAAUCCCUUUUUAAGUGGUUUAAUUUAACAAUUAAUAGGCUUUAGUUGUACAAAUCAAGAGAUUUUUAGACAUAAAGUACUAAUUAUUAAU
rnacentral:ncRNA from 1 species